rnacentral:lncRNA from 10 species
AAGAGAUUGCAUCUCUCUGCUGCCCAUAAAGUGACACAUGACCCUAUAACCGGCUUCAGGAAAUGAGAGUGGAAACACAGCUUGAAGAGUUGGUCUGCCAUGUACCAUGCUGUCUCUCCCCUUGCCGCCAUGACAACUUGGCACUGUUCCAGUAAUGGCGGCUCCGCCAGCCUGGGUCCCAGAGUGUGGAAGGCAAGCAGCAGAGCCUUCAGGAGAUCUGUGCUAGGUGAAUUAACACUUCUUCCGGAAGUCCCUCCCUUAAACCGGAAACCAUCUGCUGCCCAGUGUUGUGACUUCCAAAAGGACCAAGCCUUUUACGGCACUCAGGGUCUUGUGAUUGUCUGCUUGCAACAUCUGCUGUCCUUGCCCAGGGCUACAUCCACAGCCGCUCCUGCAAAAAUACAGGUGUGCAAAAACUACUUAUUGGGUGAAGACCAACUUUCAUGCCCUAGGUGAAACGGAGGACGUCUUGGGAGGUAGAGAGUUGCCCAAGGUCUGAAUCCAUGGGAUCUACUAAGAACAAGACCCAGACCCAAGGCAAUAAAAAGGAAGGAAAGGCAGGACGGAGCCUGGAGCAUUCGCUUCCAAGCCACUUGUAGGUGGCCUAAGAAGAGGAAGGCUGUGGUAAAGGCCCCCACGCAGGCUGAUUGAAGCAACAACAGGCCAUGGGAACAUAUCCACGCUGUGCAACACCUUUCAUCUUACAAGCUCUACUGUCUCCUGCUUUCCAAUGGGGAGGGGAAGAAUUAAAGUUUAAGUGCCAAAGUUUGGUUUUGUCUGGGGACGGUAAACACAAAACCUGAGAACUCAUCAGAAAGCAAAUUUCUUGUUA